AGUCAUAAUAAUAUUGCAUUAUGAGAGCCUGCCUAUACAGAAGAAGAAGCUAUUCAGAAACCCAGCCUGCUCUGGGCCUAGAAAUGGGAGAGAAGAAAAGGCUCUUAUGAAUUACUUCCCAAUGCCACAGACUGGUUACCAUGUGAAAAUGAGUCCACCUGUGAGAAAUUGAGCUGCAAGGGGAGGGAGGUGAAGGCCAUUGUUCCAUUUCUCUACCUACAGCUGCUGAGUGCAGAUGCUGGGCUGCCCUUCCUUGUUAGAGAUAAGAACCAGCAGGCAAAGCUGCAGCCAGGAAAUCUGGACCUCCUUCCCCAGUAACCUGUGGAGAUUCAGUUUCUGUUGAGCAUAUAUGCUGGGAAGGGAAACUACUAGGAAAGGCAACUGGUUCCAGUGUACCAGAGCUCCACUAAGCUGGUCUAGCAGAUCUGGCUGGCUCACCAGGGCAGCACCAGAGUGAGAAAAAUCUAUGGGAGAAUGAACUAUCAAUAUAAGUGCACAUUUAACACUUCCUUGAAGGUCAGCGCGGAAUUGCUCUCGUUUCAAAAGCCUGCUGCCUGCUGGGAAGGACAGCCAGCCGCCAGUUCCAGUAACAGACUAGAAGCAGCCUUAAUGUCUGUUGCUUAGAAAUGGAAACUAUGAAUAUAAAGCCAUCCUGCUGUCCAUGGAAAAUGAGCAA
rnacentral:lncRNA from 1 species